rnacentral:lncRNA from 1 species
AAUGUGACUUUUCCUUUUUCUCUAUCCUCGCAACCUGCUUGUGGAUUGUACACAAUAGAUUGUGAUACUAAACCAAAUCCAACAAUUCAUUUGGGAGGAAAUGUUUACACUGCUUUGGAACAACAUAGUUAUAGAGUUUUAGACCUUUGGUUUAAUGAUUUAUUGGCUUGCAAUUCUUUCGAUAAAGGUCUAUCUUUUCCAAGUUCCCUUUCCAUCUCGUUUACAACCAAUGAACGUAAUAUUACCUUAUUCAAAUGCAACAACAUUCUAGACACCAAGUUCCCUUUCCAUCUCGUUUACAACCAAUGAACGUAAUAUUACCUUGUUCAAAUGCAACAACACUCAGAAGGAUGAAUGAUGUUUAACUGGCAGCAACAACAAAUUUCUGUGUUCCCCAAAUCCCAAAGGUAAAAAAUUUUACUUCCAAACUGAAGUCUAUUUUCUUGACCAUUCUUUCUUACUACAUCGCAAGAUGUUUGAGAUAUAUGUUCUUGUCAGCACUCACUCAUGGGUCCAUUAUGCCAAUUUUUGUUACAAAUAUAAUUUUAAUAACUCAAAAGAAAUAUUCAAAUUGAUGUCUAGGUUCAUUCAUAUAAUAUUAUUUUAAUGAGUGUUUAUUAUACCAAUAUAUUAAAUAUAUUUUAAUGUCUGAAAAUUAAAAUAACUUUGAAUAUAAUAUCUUAUUAACAUUGAUGAAUAUCAAAAUCAGUUAGUUUUUAUAACUUUAAUCAAAGUUGGUCUUGUAUGACUGUUUAAUUAAUAUUAAAUUUGAUAAUCAUUUGCUUAACUUUUGUAAUGAGUAUCAAAAUCAGUUCGUUUUUAUAACUUUGACCAAAGUUGGUCUAUCCUGCAGAAUGUUUCAGUUAUCCUCUUUUACUCUUGUUAUGUACAAUUUAAUAUUGCAGCAUAAGAUAGCACAAGUUACUUCACUUUCUCUUCCUCUCCUCCUCAACAUCUAUACAACCUUUCGUGAUUUUCUUUGGCUGCAGUGAAGAGAAAGUCAAAACGAAUUCUUGCUGCAGGUAAAUCUAUUGAUACAAAUUUUAUUUCAUAUCACUAGAUGUUCUCAUCUUGAGCCGAGGUUUUAUAGGAAACAUCCUCUCUACAUCCACAAUGUAGGGGUAACUGAUAAGGUAAACAGACACAUUACCUCCCAAGACUCCUAGACUGUGGGAAUAUACUGCGUAUGUUGUUGUAUCACUAGAUAUUCUCACUAUACUUACAUGUUAACUUCUUCAAAUCCAUAGGCUCCUUUAUUUUACUAUGCCUAACCAUUGAGAGAAGUCAUCAAACUCUUUUCACUUACUGGUGCAUUAAAACACGCACACACACACAAAGAGUAGUGAUAGAUCUGUGCUAAAUAGUUUCUAAUUUACCAAAGAUGCAAAAUUGGUAACAAUCUUUCGAUUGGUGUCUUGACAGCCACAGCUUCUUCUAUUGGUGGAGUCGCGAUUCUAUUUAUCCUACUCCUGUACUUAAAAAGAAAAUGCUCCCUUGAUUCCAUGAUUUUCUUGAAGAAAAAAGGAGAGGAUUACAAAAAUGUAAAGGACUUCCUUAAGAACUUCUCACAUUAAUAUUGUAUCACUUGUGGGAUUUUGUUUUGAGGGUCACAAUAGAGCUCUAAUCUAUGAUUUCAUGCCCAAUGGAUCCCUUGAGAAGUUCAUUUACGAUGCAAAAUCAGGGACGAAUCAUCAACUAGGAUGGCAAACAUUAUACAAUAUUACACUUGGUAUUGCUAGAGGAUUGGAGUAUUUGCAUCUCGGUUGCAAUACUCGAAUCCUGCACUUAGAUAUAAAGCCUCACAACAUUCUUCUGGAUGAAGACUUUUGCCCAAAAAUAUCUGAUUUUGGCCUUGCAAAACUAUGUGACAAGAAGGAAAGCAUUGUAUCUUUAUUAGAGGCAAGAGGGACUAUUGGAUACAUAGCGCCAGAAAUUGUGUGUAAAAACAUUGGAGGAGUUUCUCACAAGUCUGAUUUGUACAGCUAUGGUAUGAUGGUCCUCGAGAUGGUUGGAGGAAGGAAUAAUGUUGAUGUUGCUGUUGAUCGUACAAGCGAAAUAUACUUUCCACAAUGGAUUUACAGACAAAUUGAACAAAAGGAAGAGCUUGGAUUAACUGGCAUUGCGAAGGAAGAGGACAACAAACUUGCAGAAAAGAUGAUACUGGUAAGCCUGUGGCGUAUCCAAACCGAUCCCCCCAGCCGGCCAUCGAUCAGUAUGGUUAUAGAGAUGUUACAAGGUGAACUUGGAUCGUUACAAAUGACUCCUAAGCCUUUCUUGUAUUCUCCUUCAAGGUCAGACAG